rnacentral:rRNA from 1 species
ACCUGGCUCACACCGGUUUAAACUCAGAUCAUGUAAAAUUUUAAAGGUCGAACAGACCUAAUUUAUUAGCCUCUACACCAAUUAUUAAUUUUAAUCCAACAUCGAGGUCGCAAUCUUUUUUUUCGAUAAGAACUCUAAAAAAAAUUACGCUGUUAUCCCUAAGGUAAUUUAAUCUUAUAAUCUAAACUUAGGAUCAUACAGACAUAAAUAAAUGAUUUUAUAAAAAAAAAGUUUCUUAAAUUUUUUUAUCACCCCAACAAAAUAUUUUUUUAAUAAAAUUAACCUUUAAUUCUUUAUUUAAUUUUUAUUUCUAAAUAUAAAACUCUAUAGGGUCUUCUCGUCUUCUAUACACAUUUAAGCUUUUUAACUUAAAAAUAAAAUUCUAAUAAAUUUUUAUAGAGACAGAAAUCUUUUCAUCAAACCCUUCAUGCCAGCUUUCAAUUAAAAAACUAAUGAUUAUGCUACCUUUGCACGGUCAAUAUACCGCGGCCAUUAAACUCCUCAUUGGGCAGGUCAGACUUAAAAUUAUUAUCAAUAAGCC